rnacentral:rRNA from 1 species
AGAGUUUGAUCCUGGCUCAGAUUGAACGCUGGCGGAAUGCUUUACACAUGCAAGUCGAACGGCAGCACGGGAGCUUGCUCCUGGUGGCGAGUGGCGAACGGGUGAGUAAUGCGUCGGAACGUACCGAGUAAUGGGGGAUAACGCAGCGAAAGCUGCGCUAAUACCGCAUACGCCCUGAGGGGGAAAGCAGGGGAUCGUAAGACCUUGCGUUAUUCGAGCGGCCGACGUCUGAUUAGCUAGUUGGUGGGGUAAAGGCCUACCAAGGCGACGAUCAGUAGCGGGUCUGAGAGGAUGAUCCGCCACACUGGAACUGAGACACGGUCCAGACUCCUACGGGAGGCAGCAGUGGGGAAUUUUGGACAAUGGGGGCAACCCUGAUCCAGCCAUUCCGCGUGAGUGAAGAAGGCCUUCGGGUUGUAAAGCUCUUUCAGCCGGAAAGAAACGGUGCGCUCUAACAUAGCGUGCUAAUGACGGUACCGGCAGAAGAAGCACCGGCUAACUACGUGCCAGCAGCCGCGGUAAUACGUAGGGUGCGAGCGUUAAUCGGAAUUACUGGGCGUAAAGCGUGCGCAGGCGGAUUGUUAAGCAAGAUGUGAAAUCCCCGGGCUUAACCUGGGAAUGGCAUUUUGAACUGGCAGUCUAGAGUGUGUCAGAGGGGGGUGGAAUUCCACGUGUAGCAGUGAAAUGCGUAGAUAUGUGGAGGAAUACCGAUGGCGAAGGCAGCCCCCUGGGAUAAUACUGACGCUCAUGCACGAAAGCGUGGGGAGCAAACAGGAUUAGAUACCCUGGUAGUCG